UACGUAGGGUGCAAGCGUUAAUCGGAAUUACUGGGCGUAAAGCGUGCGCAGGCGGUUGUGCAAGACCGAUGUGAAAUCCCCGGGCUUAACCUGGGAAUGGCAUUGGUGACUGCACGGCUAGAGUGUGUCAGAGGGGGGUAGAAUUCCACGUGUAGCAGUGAAAUGCGCAGAUAUCAGGAGGAACACCGAUGGCGAAGGCAGCUCGCUGGGACGGUAUUGACGCUGGAGACGCGAAAGCGUGGGGAGCAAACAGG
rnacentral:rRNA from 1 species